rnacentral:pre_miRNA from 1 species
AACAACAUCCUGGUGCUGCCUGAGUCACUUUCACAAACUCCAGCAUCAGUGAUUUUGUUGC